rnacentral:lncRNA from 1 species
AGUGCAGAAGAGAGUCUCCUGGCUGCCUGCAGGAGAUAGUUUUCUCCUGGCAGCCUUUGCAUCAAGAUGUAUUCCUCCUCCAGCACCAUGUCUGCCUGGAAGCUGCUGGACUUUCCACCAUGAUGAAAAUGGAUUGAACCUCCAAAACUGAAACGCGUGGCCCACGAGGAGACGGGAGAAAACUGGAAGCUGGAGAAAAAGAAGAGGAACCGAAAGCUGCAGGCUGAGGAGAUGGCUCCACAGAUAAAGGUGCUUGCGGCCAAGCCUCAGGCCCAGAGUUCAAUCCCGAGGAUUCACAUGAGAGAAGAGAGAACCAGCCCCCACAGUGUUCUCUGACCUUCACACCAACAUUGUGGCACGUGCACACCCACAUAUAUACUUAAAUGUACGUCUACCCACAAAAUAAUCAAUAACAGAACCAAUGCUGUAAAUAUGCCUCGGACUCGGAUCCAAACCAGAGACUUGUGCUGGCUAGUUUUUAUGUCAACUUGACACAAGCUAGAGCCAUUUUGGAAGAUGGGAUCUCUAUUUUGAAAACACCUCCACCAGAUUGGCCUAUAGUACAGUUCUUGACUGAUGAUUAAUGUGAGAGAUCCCGCCCAGCCCAUUGUGAGUGGAACCAUUCCUGACCUGGUAUUCCUUUCUUAUAGUCCAGGGUGCUAUAAGAAAGCUGACUGAGAAAGCCCAUGAGGAGGAGGUCCGUCAGUCAGCAGCACCCUCCACGGCCUUUACGUGAGUUUUUGGUCCCAGGUUUCUGCCUUGAGUCCCUGCUCUGACCUCCUUUGAUGGUGGACUGUCUGUCAUGUAUAAGCAGAAGCCAAAACAAAUAUUCUUUUUCCCUUGUUGAUUUCAGCCAUCCCGUUUUAUCAUAGCUUUACAAAUCUCAACUACGACAAGAACCUGCCCUACUAUGCACCUGCAGUUUCUGGCUAUGAGUGGAAAGAAAGGAUUUUAACCUUAGCAUAGGGUGGACGCCUUAGAUGGCCUCAACCCCUGCACUCCCUGCACAGGGCUGUGAAUACAAGAUGGGUGACAGGUUGCAGCCAUACGCAGGACCAGCAUCUCCUUGAGAUCCCUUUGUCUGACAUAUUGCCCCUGUGUCUCUUCUGAGAUUCGGCAUGGAGGAACAGCUGUGGGUCUGUCCACCUGGGGAGUGAAGGGCAUGGCUAGUGUCAAUCCCACUGCAAGCAAGGAAGUGCUCCCACUCGAUCCUGAAGCAAGGGAUGCUCCUAUUCGAUUCUAUAGCAAGAAACUCCUUCCAUUGGAUCCCCAAACAAGUGGGAGGAUCCUACUUAGAGCCGUGUGCCCGAAGCUGGAGUUCUGUCCCUGCUUCCCCCACUGAUGCAGUCUCCCUCUUCCUUUCUCCUGGGUACCAACACUGUUGAGACAAACACACCAGGCUUAAAGCAGGUAAGCACCCUCCCCUGUUGUUCCCCGUGAGAUGCCCCAUGUCUGGGCCAAGGAUAAUGAGUAUGAUAACACUGGACCACUUCUGUCCAGAAGGAUGCAGUACAGUCUCUGCCCUCACAGCUCCCUUCUCCAAAUCCCGAUUCCUCCAGUUCAUCGCAAGCCGCAUGCCCGUCACCUCCAACAGAGAGCAUUUAUUGAACCUGGCUAUCAGAACGAGUUCUCAGCUGCAUGUCACAGAGACCGAGCCUGGCUGGUUUGCAGAGGAAAAGGCCAUCUGAAGACUUUGUUAUUGAGCCUAAAAUGCACACGCGGGACCACCACACACAGAGGAUGAACAUGGAAAGUUAAGCCAACACACACGGUCCAAACCUUGUUUUCCAGGCUGGUGCUGGGCUGUCACCAUGAUGCUGUCUGGCCACUGGCCACCAACAGCACAGCCAGUGCUGAACGCUUCAAACAGCUGCAGCCACUAGAGACAGCCUUGCAAGGUCCCCCAUCUGCCACAGGGGCAUCCAGCUGGCAGAACCCUGUCUCUAAAAGAAGGUAGCCUCUGCCAGACCUCACUGUGAGAGAAAAAAAAUCUCCAGAUCAGGGAAAUAGGAGCAAUGUGUUGGCCACAAACAGAGACACGUGACUACUGCACACAGGGUCUGGGGUUCCUCCUUUAAGUCUUGCAGGGACAUGGACGGCCGUUAUCCCAUUCAUAAACUGAGCUAUGAGGCUCAGAAAUACAGAGCUAAUCGGCAGGGUUAAGAGGCCACAAUGAGGCUUUAGGGGUGGCUAGUUGCACAGAGCCCUGCUUCUCAUAGUAACCCUCCCGUAAGCCUCCUGUCUUCUCAGAUACAGAAGAGUGCAAGGUCAUGUCUGUCUGUAAAAGUUAAUGCAUAAGAAUCUAUGUGAUGUUUGUCUAUGUGUUUCUGUCAGUGUGUGUUUGUAUGUGCGGAUGAGAAUUGUGUGCACUAUGUGAGUGUGUGUAUCUGUGUUUUGUAUAUGUAAAUUAUGUGUGAAUCUGUGUCUUUGUGGGUUUGUAUAAGUGGAACAAUGUUUGCACACACGCAUUAUGUGUAUUAUAUACCACAUGCAAUAGAUAUUCUUGUUUGCCAAUUUGACACGCCUGGGAAGAGGUGUCAGUUGAAGAACUGCCUUCUUCAGAUUGGCCUGUGAACAUAUCUAUGGGGCAUUUUCUUAAUUGCUGAUUGAUGUGGGAGGACUCAGCCCACUGUGUGUGGUAUCACACCUGGGCUGGUGGUCCUAGGAUGUAUGAGAAAGCAGGCUGAGCAAGGCCGUGGAGAUUAAGCCAGUCAACAGUGUUCCACCGUGACCUCUGCUUCAGUUUCUGCCUCCAGGUUCCCACCUUGAUUCCUGAAGCUUCCAUCCUUCAUGAUGGACAUGAGCUAUAAGCUUAAAUAAACACUUUCCUCCUC